AAAAAAACAAACUCUGAGUUUCCGUGUUCAACUUUAACUGUCUGUCUUAUAUAAAAUUUUUUUAUAAUUUGUAUUUUUAUUGUUGUUAGAUAAUAAAGCAUGAUUAAUAUUUUAUGCGUGACUUGUCUUUUUAAUUUUUUUAUAAUUUUUUCAAAUAAGACGGACGGUCAAACAUUUAACACAAAAAUCAGGAUUCAUCUUCUU
rnacentral:pre_miRNA from 1 species